CAUUUCAACCUUCCUUUGCUUUUACCCUGUCAUGCUCCCUCACCCCACAAAGCUUUUGUACAUUCUGCAUCUCCUUCCUGGAACAUUCUACCUCCCUCUUCAUCUAGGUCUCUGCCUGAGCCCAGGUUCCCUAAAAAGCCUGGUCUGAGGCAAUGACUAAAAAGGCUCCUAUUUUGUUUAAGGACUCGCAAACUCAUGGCAAGAAGGUGAGGAAAACAGCUACAGAGGGAAGGAUGAGAAGCAAUGCAAAGUGACAUAUACCAUCCUGGCCACAGCUUCCCAAGUUGAGUCCUUUGCUGAGUGCACUCAUGUGGCCAUGAGGGACAUCUCAGAGAGGCUGCAGAGAUCAGAAAAACUCAUCAAAAUGGAGACCUGCAAAUAAGAGGAGGAAGAGGGAGGAGAGAGAACACAGAAAUCUUCCGAGUGGCUUCAGUGACAGGAGGGGAGGAGUCACCACCUGCCAUUUGCAUGUAAGUGUUUUUGUUCCUCUCAUUUACUGCUCCUAUUUAUGCAUGUGUGUGCAGGAUCUUCAAAAUCCAGGUAAGAAACACAGUGAAGAACUCAUCUACUGCAAGCUUGGCCCCAUCCAUCAGUACCAAUGAAGAGAGACAAAUCAGGAUAGAAAGACAUCACUACUGUCUCUAUUGUCAGUGACAUUAUGGACUAAUGAAUAAAAAUAACUGCUUUACACAGUAUUCUACAGUGUUCUACAGCGACUUCAUAUACUCCUUUCAUUCUUGCAAUGACCCAAAUUUAAGUGUUGUGUUUAAACCUAAGUUAGGCACACGUUAAUAUCUCUACUUUACUAAUGAAAAAAACCUGAGGUUAAGUGAUUUAUCCUUGGUCGCCUUCCUGUCAAUGACAGAGGCACACUUUUUAUUUUUAUUUUUUUAUUUUUAUUUUUACUUUUUUAUUAUACUUUAAGUUCUAGGGUACAUGUGCACGACGUGCAGGUUUGUUGCAUAUACGCAUAUAUGUGCCAUGUU